rnacentral:lncRNA from 1 species
AGGUUCGGGAAGGGGUUUUGUAAGCUGUUGUCCUAGGAGACCAGGCAUCAUUUAACAUGCAGAUGGAGUCUUGCUUUGUCACCCAGGCUGGGAUGCAGUGGUGUGAUCUUGACUUACUGCAACCUCUGCCUCCCGGGUUCAAGAGAUUCUCCUGCCUCGGCUUCCUGAGUACCUGGCUAUACAGGCAAAG